AAAACUAAUUUAAAAAGUUAAAAAAAAAAACUAAUUGAAUUAGUUAAACCCAAUUUCCACUAAACUUACCACCACUAUCUUUUAGCUACUACUACCAGUCAUUAUUAAUUUUUCUGAAUCAACUACUUCUCUCAAUCAAUCUGCCUGCGCUUUUACCACAUGCGCAAAGAAGCUCUUCGACUUUGAAAGAGCGGGUUGGCAACCCAACCCUUCUUUUUUCAACGAGUUAAAGUCCGUCGCUAAAGUUGCUUCAUCGCCGAUAUCAAUUCCUCAGCAGACUUCGUCGGAGGGCUCGACAACCGAAACUCAUCACGGAAACUGGCGUGUCGUUUCAUCGCCUCCUCGUCACUGAGGCCCUAUGCGACCUCGAGUUCUCGUCCUUGAUCGCCUCCGCACAAAGUCCGCAAAUCCAACUGCCCUGAUGUCGCUCCUUCACUGUAGCUAUGUACUCCAGCGUGCAUUCCUCAGCAGUAGCACUUCACCAACUCCUCUUCCACUACCAACUGAGCUGCGCUUGGACUCCCUGGCUGCGACACCUCCAUAGCCGAAAAUUAUAGAGAGAGGAAAAAAAACUUUGGGGGAAAUGAAGAGUUCGGAAUUAAAUUUGUACCGUUUAAUUUGUCUUAAACGCUAAUUAACAACUGUGAAAUUUGAAAUUUGAAUAAGUUUUGAUGUGAUUGACGUUACAGAGACUCUGUAUCGAUGGCACGAUUAUCUCACUUAUCUGAUUUCUUUCUCUCUGUUUUCUUUUUUGGUAAUGGAAUUUUCG
rnacentral:lncRNA from 1 species